rnacentral:hammerhead_ribozyme from 1 species
GCACUGUUGAGGAGUCCCACAAUAGGACGAAACAGCUGUCCAGUGC